CCUACGGGAGGCAGCAGUGGGGAAUAUUGGGCAAUGGGCGCAAGCCUGACCCAGCAACGCCGCGUGAAGGAAGAAGGCUCUCGGGUUGUAAACUUCUUUUAUGAGGGACGAAGGAAGUGACGGUACCUCAUGAAUAAGCCACGGCUAACUACGUGCCAGCAGCCGCGGUAAUACGUAGGUGGCGAGCGUUAUCCGGAUUUACUGGGUGUAAAGGGCGUGUAGGCGGGCUUGCAAGUCAGAUGUGAAAACUAUUGGCUCAACCCAUAGACUGCAUGUGAAACUGGAGGUCUUGAGUGAAGGAGAGGCAGGCGGAAUUCCGGGUGUAGCGGUGAAAUGCGUAGAUAUACGGAAGAACACCAGUGGCGAAGGCAGCCUGCUGGACAUUAACUGACGCUGAGGCGCGAAAGCGUGGGGAGCAAACAGGAUUAGAUACCCUUGUAGUC
rnacentral:rRNA from 1 species